AUGAACGCUGGCGGCGUGCCUAAUACAUGCAAGUCGAGCGAACGGACGAGAAGCUUGCUUUUCUGAUGUUAGCGGCGGACGGGUGAGUAACACGUGGAUAACCUACCUAUAAGACUGGGAUAACUUCGGGAAACCGGAGCUAAUACCGGAUAAUAUUUUGAACCGCAUGGUUCAAAAGUGAAAGACGGUCUUGCUGUCACUUAUAGAUGGAUCCGCGCUGCAUUAGCUAGUUGGUAAGGUAACGGCUUACCAAGGCAACGAUGCAUAGCCGACCUGAGAGGGGGAUCGGCGACACUGGAACUGAGACACGGUCCAGACUCCUAAGGGAGGGAGCAGUAGGGAAUCUGCCGCAAAGGGCGAAAGCCUGACGGAGCAACGCCGAGUGAGUGAUGAAGGUCUUCGGAUCGUAAAACUCUGUUAUUAGGGAAGAACAUAUGUGUAAGUAACUGUGCACAUCUUGACGGUACCUAAUCAGAAAGCCACGGCUAACUACGUG
rnacentral:rRNA from 1 species